GCGUCAGUGAGGGCGACGAAAGGAAGCGGCGCCUGGGGCGGCCGGCUGCGGCGGAGGCACCGGCCGGACGCUCCGGAGCGGCCCUGCCGCAUCCCCGUCCCCCCCGGCGCCCACGUUACCACGGGCUCGGCGUUCUCGUCCUCCCGCAGGCGCAGGCGGUGCAGCACGGGGCUGGAGACGCGGGCCAGCCCGUUGGAGAGCCGCUGCCCGAUGGCCCCCGGGUCGAUGUCCUCCACGCUGCUGGCGUUGACGAUCACGUCCACGCCCUGGCGGGGAUUGGGGGGGCGCCGGCCGUCAGCGAGAGACCCGCGGCCGAAAUGCCGGCGCCCCCGGACAGGGCGCUCGGGGCGGCAGAGGGGACGGUGACCCCCGUGUCCCCGGCCCUGCUCGCACCCACCUGGAAAAACUCGGCAAUCUUGGCCACGUGGCUGGCGCAGGCGCACUUGCGGGCGUCGGGCACGUCCUCGCCCACCUGCGGCGGCAGCAAGGGGGAGGCUGAGCGGCGGCGGGGGCCGAGGAGCAGCCCCCCGCGGGCGCCCGCGCCUCCGUGUCGCUACUCACCCAGUUGACGAGGACGUAUUUGGGGAGCACGGCCUGGGGGUCCUUGACGCUGCAGAAGCCGUACAUCACCUUCUGGAUCUCAAAGUGGCCCGAGAGCUCCAGCAAGCCGCCGCCUGGCGCAGCAAAGAGCGCGGUCAGCCCGCGGCCGCCCCGCGUGGCCCCGGGGCCAGGCACAGAGCCCAGCCAGGCGUGGGGACGCGGGGUCUUACCUCCCGACGCCGCCAGCUUCAGGUCAUCGGAGUCAUCCUCGUACGUGUAGAGGGCCCUGGGGGGACAGGCGGGGUGAGCGCCCGUGCGGCGGCCUCCCCGGCUCCCCUUCCCGGCGCGGGUCACACCGCCGUCGGGGCGGCCCAGGCAGGGCUGAGCCCGGGGGACCGGCUGGCGACCCCCUGGGGGACCCCGAGCUGCCCCCCGUGGCCAUCAGCACCCGCCAGCAUGGGGUGCGCGGGGCGCAGGGGAGCCGGUGCUGGGAUCUGCCCGCGGCACUCAGGACAAGGCUUCUUCCCCUGCCUGCAGCUCACGCCGUGGGGCGGCGACCCCAGGACAGGGGAGGAGGAGGAGGAGGAUUUGGGCGCAGUGAACAGCCGAGCCCCCUGCGGAGGCCACAGCGGUGCCACCGGGGCCCUGCCGGCUCCGGCUGCGUGUCGCUCCUGGCCAGCUCCGGGGCCAGCCGGGCGCCCCGGCGGGGCCGCUCACGUGCCGGGCUGCAUGAGCCACCAGCCCACCGGGCACCAGGCCGGGGGAGGACGCCGGAGCACCGGCGGCAGCAGCAAAUCCGUGUGCCGCCGGGGUGCGACGGGGCNNNNNNNNNNNNNNNNNNNNNNNNNNNNNNNN
rnacentral:lncRNA from 1 species